CCUUAGACUGGGAUAACUUGGGAAACUGAGGAUAAUACCGGAUAGGCAAUUAUUCCUGUAAUGGUUUUUUGUUUAAAUGUUUUUUCGCCUAAGGAUGGGUCUGCGGCCGAUUAGGUAGUUGGUUAGGUAAUGGCUUACCAAGCCGUUGAUCGGUACGGGUUGUGAGAGCAAGAGCCCGGAGAUGGAACCUGAGACAAGGUUCCAGGCCCUACGGGGUGCAGCAGGCGCGAAACCUCCGCAAUGUGAGAAAUCGCGACGGGGGGAUCCCAAGUGCCAUUCUUAACGGGAUGGCUUUUCAUUAGUGUAAAAAGCUUUUGGAAUAAGAGCUGGGCAAGACCGGUGCCAGCCGCCGCGGUAACACCGGCAGCUCUAGUGGUAGCAAUUUUUAUUGGGCCUAAAGCGUCCGUAGCCGGUUUAAUAAGUCUCUGGUGAAAUCCUGUAGCUUAACUGUGGGAAUUGCUGGAGAUACUAUUAGACUUGAGACCGGGAGAGGUUAGAGGUACUCCCAGGGUAGAGGUGAAAUUCUGUAAUCCUGCGAGGACCGCCUGUUGCGAAGGCGUCUAACUGGAACG
rnacentral:rRNA from 1 species